CGACGAGGACGGUUGUGGUCCGGUCACUUUGGGGCUGCUCGAAAAUCGGGAUUAAUUUUUUCUUGACGUGACGUGCUUCUUAUCUAACCGUCUGUUAGCGACAUACUAUGUCCUCACAUUGCAUACUAAGAAACAAUUGUGGAAGUUGCGUUUGGAUCGUCAGUAACUGCUAGUGAUAUUGUGGUAAAUUUUUGUUGCAGAAAUUCAACUUUGAACUGGAAUUGUUUCCUUGGUCCCACAAACUGCCGGACAAGUGAAGGUUUAAACGCUGAGGUGCUAAUCUGGUUUUCAGAUACUGCAGGGGUUAGUACAUCUCCGGAGAUGAUUACAGAUGUCUUGCUUCAUCCAACUGUAAAUUCAUGCAAGGCUCUGGUGACGAACUUCAACAUUCAGGUUUUGAUAAAGUUCUGUCCUGAAGUUCGGCUGUCAAGGAUGAUAUAGAUAUCUAAAUAUAAAAGAAGCAGUCUGGGAGUGUCGGCCAGAUGAACAGCGCUUUACCUAAGUUAAAACAAUGGGAAAAGUUCCUUUUUGAAAUUGAUACAAAAAUACAUGGUUGUGGUAGUGUAACAGAAAACUGAAUUAUUCUCAAGGCUGAAGAUUCUUGCCCGAAAUGAUAAAUAUUUCUUCCAGCAACAUUCCGACAGGCGUGUUUCAACUUUGUGUUGUAAACCAACGUGCCUCUCGACUGACUUUUGAAGGAAAGUUUUCUGCCAUGUCAGUGAUUUCUGUGGAUUUUAAAAUGCGAGCAUGACUCCAAUGUGGUAGCCUACACACGAACAUGGUUUCCCAUGUUCAGUUAUUAUAUCAUUACCCACAUUUGCCUUGCUGACUUGAAUAUCCAUUAUAUGAAAACCCUGGUUCUUAUGUUCAUUUGUUCUCCAACAACACCACCACCACCUCCACCACCUCUCUCUCUCUCUCUCUCUCUCUCUCUCUCUCUCUCUCUCUCUCUCUCUCUCUCUCUCUCUCUCCAAUUUAAUUAGGUUUUGAGUUUGUCUUAAGGAGGCUUAGAAGAAUACGUUUUGGGUAAGACUAUUUCAGUAUGAUUCAAGACUAAAAUUUUCACUCGAUGCCAAGAACUUUGCAAAUAUAUGUAUAUAUUUUUAAGUUUUAGGACCUCUUACUUUUAGGGAAACCAUCUUUUAUGCUAAAAAAAACCCGUUGACUGACUAUGUCCUUCAGUUAUCUUGCGUAAGUGGUCAUGGUAUUUAUGUUGACUUAUUACCGAACUUUCAACUUGACAAGACAUUGUUCAUUGCAGCAUGCGGGUCGGUCAAAUUAUUGGUGUCAAUUGUGCAAGUGACCAUUGGGGGAUUUGUUUUCUUGGAAAUGAUCGGUUUUCAUGGGCCAAAUUUUGUGCCUUUUAAAUUUUUAGGGUCUUUGGAGCUCUUGAAAUUAUAGAGGGCAAUAAAUAAGUUUCUGACCCUGACUUUUUGUUACAAAGUGUUUGGAAACGCGUUAAAUGUUUGUAGUCUUCACUUUGGUUCAAUAAUAACGAAAGCACAGUAAAGCAGAUGCUUGCUCUCGUGCAUCAUUGGUUUUGGUCGUUCAGGCAAUUCUACCGUAGGUGUUCAGUUAAUAGUUGAAUGAAUAAAACCCUCUGGAGUUUAUUGAAUAAUUAAUCUGUUGUUUAAAGUAGUUGUACGACUACAGUACAGGCAGUUUGGGCAUUCACCUUAAAAAGUCUACCUUUCAUGAUUUUUCUCCAAAUUGUUACCUUUUACUUAGAUUUCUCGAUAUUAUCCAAGUGGUUUCUUGCCAGUCUUUUUAAACUCUUGACUAUAUAUUUCAUGGACCGUGCUAUUUUCUGAUGAGAGUGGUCUUAUUUUAGUUCUGUCAUGCAAAUUUUGUUGCAAGGACUUUUACAGUUACUUUGCUCAGAUACCCUUACCCGUGGUCUGGUUUUCUCACUUUUUGACGAAAGAUUUUGCUGUUUGCUUUCUGGCUCUGCUUUUGCAUGCGAUUUUUUUUCAGUUUUUAUUUUUCAUGUUUUACCAUGCAAAGCGCAGUCCAAGGAUGCAAGAGAUGAGUUUGAAGUUGGAAAGUUAUCGUAUCGAGUUCAAGAGUUAGCAGGAAUGUUUUUGGCCAGUGAAGUUACUCUGCGGCCAUAUAGUCUAAAAAUUGUUUUUGUUGUGCCCAAGCAGAUGUAUUCUUUACUUUUUCUUGGUGCAUUCAUAUUUUUAAAUUAAUUCAUCACUAUUCAGUACUGUUUUCCAGAUGUGAAAAUUGGGCCGCUGGUGUGAACAAACUGAAGUGACAAUGGUAGUUUCAUGCUUGACCGGAUGUAAAGUUUUAGAGAAGGCAUGUUGAUUUUAAUAUUUUCAUAUAGUGGUGUGCGUCUUACUACAGUGAGACUUAUUGAUAGUGUACGGAAAGCUUUGAUAUAGGCCCCUUGUGUUUGCAAUGUUCUGUUCCAACUACAGAUUAAAAAAUGGAAACUUUGAAGACAGAGCAAAGAAAUUUUUAAUUCUCAAAGACAGUAAAACCGAAGUAAACGAUAUAGUACAACCUAAGUAAACGGUGGCGGGGCUUCGUGUAUUUAAUUAAUAAGUUAGGAGCAUGUAUGGAAAACUUUCUGACAAAUUUUUACUCUGGUUUCGAACUUUGUUUCUUUUCUUAGGUUCUGCGAUGAGUUACCAAAUCAUGAAGAAGUGGAUUGGUGACUGGGAGCAUUUGUCUCCACCUGCAGAUUAUAUUCGAUGGUCUCAACUGAAGUGGAUUAGUAGCUCUUGAGCACUUGUCUUCGACUUGAAGAUAUUGCAAUCUCGUACAACAUAACCAGGUAGUGUACUACCAUAAUCAGCCGACGAAGUGUUAGACUUCAAGUGCUACAGGGCAGAAAGAUGCAAGAAGUAAACAGAUGUCAUUUAUCCAUUGGUGCGGAUUUGCAAGUAGUUCUCCUUAGGCUCUGCAAAUUGUUCUCGCCUUCGAGUACUUAUGUUUGAACCAGCACAGACAUCAAACCAGCACAAGCAUCAAAGAAGAACUGACAGCCGACCCAGUUAAUGUACAAAUAGGUGUGGAUCUGUACCUUAGACGUUGUACCUUAGAGUAAUUGAAUUUGAACCGGUUUGUAUCAAAGAGGAACUGACAUCUCAACGCAGUUGCAUUGGUGUGGAUCUGCAAGUUGUUCACCAUUAAGUACUUUGAACAUGCACAAGCUUCAAAGAAGAACUCAUUGGUGUGGAUUUGCGAGUUCUCCUUAGUGUUCUUUGGCGUGAACCUGCUCAAGCUUCAAAGAACAACAAACACGAAACAGUUGAAUUAUUGUGAUCUGCAAGUUUUCUCUCCGAACUGACCGUCGACUCAGUUGAAUAGGUAUGGAUCUACACGUUGUACCUAGAGUAAUUUGGAUUGAACCUGCACACGCACCAAGAACAACUGGUAACUCGGCGCAGUUGCAUUGGUGUGGAUCUUCAAGUUUUUCUGAAAGUUCUUUGGUUUGAACCUGCACAAGCAUCAAAGAGGAACUGACAACUCAACCAUGUUGAAUUGUGGUGGCUGAUGCUACUAAAAACAGUGUGAUGAGCAUAUAUUCCCUCUUCUUAAAGAUCAUGUCUUGCUCUCGGACUUGUAUGUACACUGUACACAAAUUAUACAGUAUUAUGUCACUAUCUGCUCUUGAUUGGAAGAUUAACUAAACAUCUUACUCAAAAACCAUGGAUCUAAUGAAAAAUUUAGUCGUUCCGAAGAAAGAGUGUCAAUAAAUUAUAUUUUAACUUUUUUAAAAA